rnacentral:rRNA from 1 species
UACGUAGGGGGCAAGCGUUGUCCGGAAUCAUUGGGCGUAAAGAGCGUGUAGGCGGUCCGGUAAGUCGGCUGUGAAAGUCCAGGGCUCAACCCUGGGAUGCCGGUCGAUACUGCCGGACUAGAGUUCGGAAGAGGCGAGUGGAAUUCCCGGUGUAGCGGUGAAAUGCGCAGAUAUCGGGAGGAACACCAAUGGCGAAGGCAGCUCGCUGGGACGUUACUGACGCUGAGGAGCGAAAGCGUGGGGAGCGAACAGG